GUCGAGCGGGGAAAGGUAGCUUGCUACCUAACCUAGCGGCGGACGGGUGAGUAAUGCUUAGGAAUCUGCCUAUUAGUGGGGGACAACGUUUCGAAAGGAACGCUAAUACCGCAUACGCCCUACGGGGGAAAGCAGGGGCUCUUCGGACCUUGCGCUAAUAGAUGAGCCUAAGUCAGAUUAGCUAGUUGGUGGGGUAAAGGCCUACCAAGGCGACGAUCUGUAGCGGGUCUGAGAGGAUGAUCCGCCACACUGGGACUGAGACACGGCCCAGACUCCUACGGGAGGCAGCAGUGGGGAAUAUUGGACAAUGGGGGGAACCCUGAUCCAGCCAUGCCGCGUGUGUGAAGAAGGCCUUUUGGUUGUAAAGCACUUUAAGCGAGGAGGAGGCUCCUAUAGAUAAUACCUAUAGUGAGUGGACGUUACUCGCAGAAUAAGCACCGGCUAACUCUGUGCCAGCAGCCGCGGUAAUACAGAGGGUGCGAGCGUUAAUCGGAUUUACUGGGCGUAAAGCGUACGUAGGCGGCUUUUUAAGUCGGAUGUGAAAUCCCUGAGCUUAACUUAGGAAUUGCAUUCGAUACUGGGAAGCUAGAGUAUGGGAGAGGAUGGUAGAAUUCCAGGUGUAGCGGUGAAAUGCGUAGAGAUCUGGAGGAAUACCGAUGGCGAAGGCAGCCAUCUGGCCUAAUACUGACGCUGAGGUACGAAAGCAUGGGGAGCAAACAGGAUUAGAUACCCUGGUAGUCCAUGCCGUAAACGAUGUCUACUAGCCGUUGGGGCCUUUGAGGCUUUAGUGGCGCAGCUAACGCGAUAAGUAGACGCUGGGGAGUACGGUCGCAAGACUAAAACUCAAAUGAAUUGACGGGGGCCCGCACAAGCGGUGGAGCAUGUGGUUUAAUUCGAUGCAACGCGAAGAACCUUACCUGGUCUUGACAUAGUAAGAACUUUCCAGAGAUGGAUUGGUGCCUUCGGGAACUUACAUACAGGUGCUGCAAUGGCUGUCCUCAGCUCGUGUCGUGAGAUGUUGGGUUAAGUCCCGCAACGAGCGCAACCCUUUUCCUUAUUUGCCAGCGGGUUAAGCCGGGAACUUUAAGGAUACUGCCAGUGACAAACUGGAGGAAGGCGGGGACGACGUCAAGUCAUCAUGGCCCUUACGACCAGGGCUACACACGUGCUACAAUGGUCGGUACAAAGGGUUGCUACCUAGCGAUAGGAUGCUAAUCUCAAAAAGCCGAUCGUAGUCCGGAUUGGAGUCUGCAACUCGACUCCAUGAAGUCGGAAUCGCUAGUAAUCGCGGAUCAGAAUGCCGCGGUGAAUACGUUCCCGGGCCUUGUACACACCGCCCGUCACACCAUGGGAAUUUGUUGCACCAGAAGUAGGUAGUCUAACCGCAAG
rnacentral:rRNA from 1 species